CACACCACCUCCAAAAAAAUUUACUGGUAAAUGUGACCUAUGCAAGCUAAAAGGCCAUAAAGUUAUGCAAUGCCCCAAAUUUCUUGCAAUAAUCGCCCAAGCCAAUGCGGUCACCGCUGCAGAUGAGUCGCAACGAAAUAAUGAAGAAGAAUCAGAAGUAGAAAUUGAGCAGAUAGUAGACGGUGCUGAUGAAAAUGGAUCCAAUAUCCAAUAGGAAUAGAAAUAUGAAAUUAUAUAUAUAUAUUUAAUUAUAAUUAAAUAACUAUAAUUUAUAACCA